UGGUGGAGUGAUUUGUCUGGUUAAUUCCGUUAACGAACGAGACCUCGACCUUGUUAAAUAGUCUCGCGUAUCUCCGGAUACGCGCAGUGCUUCUUAGAGGGACUAUCGGUGUCGUAGCCGAUGGAAGUUCGAGGCAAUAACA
rnacentral:rRNA from 1 species